GAACCCAAAUAGAAAUGUUCACAGCUACCUUGUAAAGCCCAAUCAAAGUGAAACAACCCUUGCUUGUGAGAGAAGAACUGGAUAUCUGAGAAAAGGGAGCCACAUGGUACCUGGGAGCAUGUGAAGCCCAGGGAAGAUCAAGAUUUGUCUGAUCAACACAGGAAGGCGACUUUGAGGAAGGAGAAGCUGGUAGUGUUAAAUCACAAACUCACAAUCCUUUGAGCAUGGAGAUAUCGCAUAGGCAACGAUACACCAAACUCCCCACCCAAGUACCUUCUUUGUCACCUAACCAGGGAUUAUCACAAAGGCCAGUCCUGAAAUACACAGGUGUUUUGAAAGCAAUGAAAUUACUCAGUCCAAAUGAAUAGCUACACCAUGCUGACAUUGCUCCUCUGGGGUAAGGAGUUGACUCUUGUUCCAUUUGUUCCCCAUAAACAGAGCAAAUGUAUUUCUAGGUUUAUU
ensembl:lncRNA